AUGAACUCACAGACUUACGCAAAGACGAAUGAUACCUGCGGUAAUUCAAAACUGACGAAGAGACAAUGGAAGAACUACCGUGCGGUCGAAGUGUUUAUGAACACCAAGAAGACUACAGCCUGUUUUUUAGGACUGAGGAAGAUUAUCUCAAAAGACACCCCAUGUCGCUUUCAAUCUUAACAUGGUUCAUUCAUUAUACAACAUUGAACGUCCCAAUAUCUGCUGAGAAAUGAAACUUUAUUGUCGUGGGUGCCACAUCACAUGUUCAUCGGUGUUCUCAUUUAAGGGUCAACAGUGUUCCCAUUGACAAAUCAACAGUGUUCCCCUUGACGGAUCGACAGUGUUCCCAUUGACGGAUCGACAGUGUUCCCCUUGACGGAUCGACAGUGUUCCCCAAGUGACGGAUCGACAGUGUUCCCCAAGUGACGGAUCGACAGUGUUCCCCAAGUGACGGAUCGACAGCGUUCCCCAAGUGACGGAUCGACAGCGUUCCCCAAGUGACGGAUCGACAGCGUUCCCUUUGAUGAAAUACGUGGACAUAUUAUUGUGCUAUAAUGAUUAUAAUGCAAUACAGACGGAUACGGACAAUACGGACCAGUCGUUGAAAUCCAAUCUGUGAGAGGGCACUGGACUCGCUAUGUUUGCAUUGCGGGUUCCUGCCCACUGACGUAUCUGUUGUGAAACAGUUUGGGUUGGCAAUGCCGAACCGGGAACGUUAGGUCCUUACAAAAACAUAGCAGCUCUCAUACCAGGGGCCGCUUCCGCAGUGCCUUGUUUUAAGUUAAAGACAUAUAGUAAACGCUGUAUGGAAAAACAACCUCGUGCA